rnacentral:misc_RNA from 1 species
AACGCACAUUGCGCCCGCCAGUAUUCUGGCGGGCAUGCCUGUUCGAGCGUCAUUUCAACCCUCAAGCCUAGCUUGGUGUUGGGGACCGGCAUAGCGAAAUAAGCUGCGCCGCCCCCGAAAUGAAUUGGCGGUCUCGUUGCGGCCUCCUCUGCGUAGUAUAAGCACAAAUCUCGCAACAGGAGCGCGACGCGGCCACUGCCGUAAAAAGCCCAAAUCUUUUUAAAGUUGACCUCGAAUCAGGUAGGAAUACCCGCUGAACUUAA